GACGAACGCUGGCGGCGUGCUUAACACAUGCAAGUCGAACGGAAAGGCCCUGCUUUUGUGGGGUGCUCGAGUGGCGAACGGGUGAGUAACACGUGAGUAACCUGCCCUUGACUUUGGGAUAACUUCAGGAAACUGGGGCUAAUACCGGAUAGGAGCUCCUGCUGCAUGGUGGGGGUUGGAAAGUUUCGGCGGUUGAGGAUGGACUCGCGGCUUAUCAGCUUGUUGGUGGGGUAGUGGCUCACCAAGGCUUUGACGGGUAGCCGGCCUGAGAGGGUGACCGGCCACAUUGGGACUGAGAUACGGCCCAGACUCCUACGGGAGGCAGCAGUGGGGAAUAUUGCACAAUGGGCGGAAGCCUGAUGCAGCAACGCCGCGUGCGGGAUGACGGCCUUCGGGUUGUAAACCGCUUUCGCCUGUGACGAAGCGUGAGUGACGGUAAUGGGUAAAGAAGCACCGGCUAACUACGUG
rnacentral:rRNA from 1 species